AUUGAACGCUGGCGGAAUGCUUUACACAUGCAAGUCGGAGCGGCAGCGCGGGGCAACCUGGCGGCGAGCGGCGAACGGGUGAGUAAUGCAUCGGAACGUACCCCGUCGUGGGGGAUAACUACCCGAAAGGGUAGCUAAUACCGCAUACGACCUGAGGGUGAAAGCGGGGGACCGAAAGGCCUCGCGCGAUGGGAGCGGCCGAUGCCGGAUUAGCUAGUUGGUAGGGUAAAGGCCUACCAGGGCGACGAUCCGUAGCUGGUCUGAGAGGACGACCAGCCACACUGGAACUGAGACACGGUCCAGACUCCUACGGGAGGCAGGCAGUGGGGAAUUUUGGACGAAUGGGCGAAAGCCUGGAUCCAGCCAUUCCGCGUGAGUGAAGAAGGCCUCGGUUGUAAGCCGUUUAGUACCGGUAGAAAGUAC
rnacentral:rRNA from 1 species